GCCUAACUGCCCCCUGCGACCCUGCCGGCCUCCAUUUCGUCGGUGUGCUGCGUCUGCCUCUCCUGCUGUUGGUCUUGGUUCAUUGCGGCUGACGUACGUAGGUGCUGGAUCCGUUGUGGUUUUGUGGCACAGGUACCCGACCUCCGCCACCGCCCGCCAAGUGCCCAGGCACCCGACUGCCGUGGUGCCGCCGACUGCCACCGCCUGCCUGCCCAGCGCCUAGGCACCCAGCGCCCAGCCCAGAUUGAAAAAUAAAGAGGAAAAGCAGUGCUACCACUGAUUUGAUAGCUUUUUUAGCAAGAUUUGCUGUAAAAAAGAAGGAUAUUGUUGCUCCAUCUUCCAAUGAAAGAGAGAUGCAAUUGGUGAUAUUUCAAGGACAGACUGAAACUAGUAAUACAACACCCACAGAACAAGAGAGAGUUGAGCCUGAACCUCCAAUAAUAGAAGAUGUUGAAAACAAUGAUGAUUUUGAAUCAGUGCGCUUGAAUAGGACAACAUCGAGUGAGGAUAAUGAUAGUGAUGAUACUUAUAUUUAUGGCAUUGAGCAUGAUCCUGGAUUGAUGACUCCAAUCUCAAGCUAUUCUAUUAAUAACCAAGAUGCAGUUACAAGGGCCUAUAUUGCAUUGGGGCCAUGUCGACCAAAGAUGAAGAAGGAUGAUUUUCCCCAACAUGAAUGUGGAGGUAUGUGUCGCUUCCUACCAAAGUGGUUUUCCGAGUUUUGUAGGCUUGAGUAUAGUGUGGAUAAAGAUGUUGCAUAUUGUUUCGUUUGCUAUCUGUUCAAAGAUAACAACAAAUUCCCUGGUGGAGAUGCUUUCGUUAAUGAGGGGUUUAGAAAUUGGAAUGUUAAAGCUAGAUUGCUUAAGGGUUGGUGUUGUUGAUAGUGCUCAUUGUGAAGCUGAGGAGAAAUAUAAUUUAUUUUUGACACCUAAAACAUCAAUCCGUGAGUCAGUUACCUCAAAUAUUUUAUUGUAUAAGGCUCAAAAAUAAAUUUGAGAAGCCUAGAGAAGAGAUGAAAACUUCAAAAAUUUGAGAAGCCUAGCAGAGUUAUCUAUGAUGCUUGUCAAAACAGAUAAGAUUCUUUGGUAUGACAUUGUUUACAAGCUUCUCAAAUUGGUGCUAGUUCUUCAUGUUACAACUGCCGGUGUUGAAAGAAUCUUUUCUUCAAUGAACUUUAUAAAAAAUAAGCUAAGAAGCAAGAUGAGACAAAAAAAUUUAAAUGGAUGCUUGGUUAUUUUUAUUGAAAGACAAUUCUUCUUGCAAGUCAAAAAUGAGGACAUUAUCAGUCAAUUUCAAAGCUUGAAGGAUCAUAAAGUUGUCUAGUAAGCAUCCUUAUACUAUUUAAUGUUCUCCUGACCUAUUAUUUUUACGUGAGUUAUGAUUUAGCUUACUACUUUUGUAAUGUGUAUAUUCUAUUAUAUGCUAUAACUAUCUAUACGUGAAUCAAUUAGACCAUCUAAUUUUUUUUCCUUUAGUACAAUUUGGAAUACCCAUUCUAUCCUGGUCCCGUCCCUGGAAGCCACGGACAAGCCACAGUCCACAGAUUUCAGAACAAGCAGCUUGCUUCACUCGCACUGACACGAGUCCAGCAUCUCUCCGUUUCAUUUGAACUACAACUAAUCUUUGCCAACUAACCAAUCAGGAUGUACACCAAGCGAGGGUACCUAUAGAGUAGAGACUAAAGUUGAGUAAAGUUGGUGUCCCCAAACAGCUCGGCAGAGUCAGAGAUCCUACUGCCGGUAGGCGCUGCUGUUGGAUUGCGAUCCUGGUUUCCCCUGCUUCGACUUGGACAACGACCGGCCGCCGCCAGUGGCAGGCCGUGCAUCCGUCAGCUCCUUCACGACCGCGGUCAUGGAGGGCCUUUGGCUCGCCUCCCUGGCCGCGCACCGCAGCGCCACUGACAGGACCUUACUCACCUCCUCCAUCUCCACCGUGCCGAAGACUUCCUCCAUGAGGGCCGGGUCGCAGACGGCCUCGAUUUUGUCAGUGCCGUUCAGGGCGGACGACGCCCAGCUGACUAUGUCCGUGCCGUCGGGAAACGAGGGAUCCACCGCCGCCCUCCUCGUGAGCAGCUCCAGCAGCACCACGCCGUAGCUGUACACGUCGGACUCCAUGCUGCUCUUGGUGGAGAACGCUAACUCUGCAAGGCAGCGCAGCGCAUGCUCAUUAGGUAUGCAUCGGUGUGUAUUCUGAUUUCUGAAGACCAAAAUUUUCAUAGUUCCAAGAUGACAAGUUCACCAGCACAUCAGUAUUUACGUAUACAACGAAAAGAUAACAUGACAGUAUCUGACAGAUUGAAUUUCGAAAUAAUUUAUACAGAUAAUUUCUAAGUUCAGAGGGAUUACAGAUUAAACUGUUUGUAAGCUUCUCCAUGACUUAACGACCUUCUGAGGUGUAAUUAAUUGGUAAAGCAGAUGUUUUGCAUUGAUAA